UACGAAGGGGGCAAGCGUUGUUCGGAAUCAUUGGGCGUAAAGGGCGCGUAGGCGGGCUUGUAAGUCGAUUGUGAAAUCCCUGGGCUUAACCCGGGAAUUGCAGUCGAAACUGCAAGUCUUGAGUUCUCGAGAGGAUGGUGGAAUUCCUGGAGUAGUAGUGAAAUACGUAGAUAUCAGGAGGAACACCGGAGGCGAAGGCGGCCAUCUGGCGAGACACUGACGCUAAGGCGCGAAAGCGUGGGUAGCAAACAGG
rnacentral:rRNA from 1 species